AUAGCCUUAUGGGGACAUGGCCGUAUGGGGACAUGGUGCUUAUAGAGAGACAUGGCCUUAUGGGGACAUGCCCUUAUGGGGACAUGGUGCUUAUAGAGAGACAUAGCCUUAUGGGGACAUGGUGCUUAUAGAGAGAUAUAGCCUUAUGGGGACAUGGCCUUAUGGGGACAUGGUGCUUAUAGAGAGACAUAGCCUUAUGGGGACAUGGCCUUUUGGGGACAUGGUGCUUAUAGAGACAUAGCCUUAUGGGGACAUGGCCUUAUGGGGACAUGGUGCUUAUAGAGAAACAUAGCCUUAUGGGGACAUGGCCUUUUGGGGACAUGGUGCUUAUAGAGACAUAGCCUUAUGGGGACAUGGCCUUAUGGGGACAUGGUGCUUAUAGAGAGACAUAGCCUUAUGGGGACAUGGCCUUAUGGGGACAUGGUGCUUAUAGAGAAACAUAGCCUUAUGGGGACAUGGUGCUUAGCACUCCCUCUUAAGGCCUAAUAACACAGUGCAGAAAUACAAUAUGGUGCUUUACAGUAGAUUGAGGUUGGAAAAGGGAUAAGACUGCAGACAAUCAUCUUUGAAGAGGACCGACAGUCAUCAGACCACAUUAUGGGAAUUACGCCACAUUAUGGUCUUCAUCAGAAUUUGACCAUGUGUGUCUUUUAUAGAGGAGAGAUUUGAUUCUAAGGACAUUGUGCAAGUUUUUUUCAACAAAAAAAAACCCAAUGUUGUGCCAAGAUUGACAAUUCAUGUUGGCGUUCUUUCUUUGGGUUUUGUAGUCAGAGUCAUGAUUGGAUGUUAUUGAUACAUGCUGACUGAUAACUUUUGAAGUGAAAGCCAUAUAACACUCAAUCCACAAAAACUGCAGGGGCCAUACUUAUGAUUUAGCAUGUUAGCAGCUAACAAGGAUGGAUUUUAACCUGAAGGGACCCAUACUUAUGAUUUAGCAUGUUAGCGGCUAACUAGCACAGGUUUAAACCUGAAAGACCCAUACUUCUGAUUUAGCAUGUUAGCGGCUAACAAGCACAGGUUUAAACCUGAAAGACCCAUACUUCUGAUUUAGCAUGUUAGCGGCUAACUAGCACAGGUUUAAACCUGAAAGACCCAUACUUCUGAUUUAGCAUGUUAGCGGCUAACUAGCACAGGUUUAAACCUGAAAGACCCAUACUUCUGAUUUAGCAUGUUAGCAGCUAACAAGCACAGGUUUAAACCUGAAAGACCCAUACUUCUGAUUUAGCAUGUUAGCGGCUAACUAGCACAGGUUUAAACCUGCAGGUAACAUCUUUAGCAGCUUUUCGCAUUUCCAAUUAGAAAACAUGUCUUACUUGGGAACUCUAACUGGCUCUUAAUCAAAACAAAGGAACAGUUCACUCUUUAUUUAUGUCAAAUGAACACAUGGUCAAAUUAAAGAAACGCUUCAAGAGGAAGUUGUAGUUUUCUACCAGCUCUGAUACUGUACCUAUAAAUAGAUCAAACUAAUACUUUUAACCUUAACAGUGUUCCUCACAAACUAAACCAGGGUCGUAUUCAUUAGUGCACAUCGUAGGAAAAACAUUUAACAAGGGAAAAAUGAAAAUGAGUUUCUUAUUGGACAGAUUCAAGUAGUCCCUCCCUGUUUCAGUCCAUUUUCAUCCAUUGGGUGACUAACACAACCCAGUUCCCUCUCCUCCCUCUAUUCUUCCAAUAUAAUGUGCUUCCUUCUUGUUCACAUGGCUGAUAUUGGUUUGUUCUGAGUAUUUAUAUAAUCUCCCUGUUUUUAUUUUUUAUCCUGUUUGUACAUAUGAAUAUUAAACAGCCUUGUCAUUUUCCAAUACAUAUUUGAUCAAUAAUUUUAAAUGCAAUUUUUAAUAAAAUUAUAAUAAAAUAAAA